rnacentral:rRNA from 1 species
CCUACGGGUGGCAGCAGUGAGGAAUAUUGGUCAAUGGACGAGAGUCUGAACCAGCCAAGUAGCGUGAAGGAUGACUGCCCUAUGGGUUGUAAACUUCUUUUAUAUGGGAAUAAAGUUCUGCACGUGUACUGUUUUGUAUGUACCAUAUGAAUAAGGAUCGGCUAACUCCGUGCCAGCAGCCGCGGUAAUACGGAGGAUCCGAGCGUUAUCCGGAUUUAUUGGGUUUAAAGGGAGCGUAGGUGGAUUGUUAAGUCAGUUGUGAAAGUUUGCGGCUCAACCGUAAAAUUGCAGUUGAUACUGGGAGUCUUGAGUACAGUAGAGGUAGGCGGAAUUCGUGGUGUAGCGGUGAAAUGCUUAGAUAUCACGAAGAACUCCGAUUGCGAAGGCAGCUUACUGGACUGCAACUGACACUGAUGCUCGAAAGUGUGGGUAUCAAACAGGAUUAGAUACCCUAGUAGUC